ensembl:lncRNA
UGGCAAUCUGACUUCCAUUCACACUCUGAUUUCAUUUCCCCUUAGCCUGACUUAGACUUGGCGGGCUGCUCUUUUGGAGACCAUCAUACGUGAAAACAGCUGAAUAACAAAGGCUUGUGUUACGAAAGAGAUGAAUAAGAUUAUUCUGGCAGUAUACAUGCUCAGUGACGUAUCGCGAUUCCAGCUGCGUGUUGCAGUUGGUUGUUGACUUUGUUCUAAAUUUUACUUAAACAGUCAUCCUUGGGGAUGGGAUGGAGCCUGGGGACCAUUACUGUGGCAAUUCUGGAGACUGUCUGUAGAGCAAGAGAGUUGUCUGUAGAAGCUGCGUGCAAAAAUCUACAUGGUAUAAAUAAGUUUAUUUCACAACAUGAUUGUAGUACAAUUAAUUUUCUGAGUUGAG